AGAUUUAUCGCCGAAAGAUCGGCCCGCGUCUGAUUAGCUAGUUGGUAGGGUAAUGGCCUACCAAGGCGACGAUCAGUAGCUGGUCUGAGAGGAUGAUCAGCCACAUUGGGACUGAGACACGGCCCAAACUCCUACGGGAGGCAGCAGUGGGGAAUAUUGGACAAUGGGGGCAACCCUGAUCCAGCCAUGCCGCGUGAGUGAUGAAGGCCCUAGGGUUGUAAAGCUCUUUUGUGCGGGAAGAUAAUGACGGUACCGCAAGAAUAAGCCCCGGCUAACUUCGUGCCAGCAGCCGCGGUAAUACGAAGGGGGCUAGCGUUGCUCGGAAUCACUGGGCGUAAAGGGUGCGUAGGCGGGUCUUUAAGUCAGGGGUGAAAUCCUGGAGCUCAACUCCAGAACUGCCUUUGAUACUGAAGAUCUUGAGUCCGGAAGAGGUGAGUGGAACUGCGAGUGUAGAGGUGAAAUUCGUAGAUAUUCGCAAGAACACC
rnacentral:rRNA from 1 species